GCAGGUUCAGGUUGGAACAGCGCCUCCCUUUGCCAGACCCAGGGAUUGCACUUUACCCUGUGGAGGUUCCUAAACUCCUUUCAUAGAAGCUACGGACAUCAUGGGAAGCCAGAAGAGAGAGUGAAUCCGUGUCCAAAGAAGAGCUUCUAAGGGCACGUGUUAUUUUCAA